GGCAGUUUAGCUUAAUGGUUAAAGCACUCAGCUGGAAUCUUUGAAGGAUGUGAGUUCAAGUCCCAUAGAUGGCU
rnacentral:tRNA from 1 species